rfam:Streptomyces violaceusniger Tu 4113, complete genome.
CUUCAGCGCGCCCAGCCACAGCGGCCGGUCCGUGUCCCGCCCCUGGCCGUACGUGGCCAUCAGGGCCUGUGCCUC